rnacentral:tRNA from 1 species
UCCUCCAAAGCUCGGUGGUUAGAGCGUCAACCGGCACCUGAAGGUCAUGGGUUCGAUUCCCGUUGGGGAGCUCAGAA